rnacentral:ncRNA from 1 species
CCCGCUGAGUUUAAGCAUAUCAAUAAUUGGGGAAAAAGAAACUACCAACAAUUCCCUUAGUAACGACGAGAGAACCGAGAAAAGCCCACCCUGAGCAUCGGUCACCCUCGGUGUCCGAAUUGGAGACUGGAGAAGCAUCCUCAGUGGCGGACCGAGCUCAAAUCCCCUUGAAGAGGGUGCCAGAGACGGUGAGAGCCUCGUCGUGCCCGGACCCUAUCGCACCACGAGGCGUUGUCGGUGAGUCACUAAAAGUGAUAAAAGUUCAACAAAAGUAGAUAGUAGCUAUUACAACCCACUAAAAGCAAAGAGAAAAUUGAAAGUGCGCAUGUCAAGAGGAGCACUUUGGAAAGCUUACUCACAAUAUUAGUUUUGAUGAGGACAACUUGUGAUUAUAAGAGCUUGAAGAUCAUCAACAAAUCAGCGUGCUUAAGUCUCUAGAUUGGUAUUAGACUUAGACUAAUAGUUAGUUUAGGUUGAGUCUAAGGCUUAGGUAAACUCAAUACAUGUCUCAUAUGCAUAAAACUUUAAAUCAUUUUAAGUUUUGAGAUAUGUCAUUUAUAAUAUGUUCAUGCAUCAUAUAAAUACAUGU